CGGCGAUAUCAUGUUGAAACACCGGUUCUCGUACAAUCACCGAAGUUAAGCAACAUCGAGCCUGGUCAGUACAUAGAUGGGUGAUCGUUUGGGUAUACUAGGUGAUGUAA